AACAAACGCUGGCGGCGUGCCUAACACAUGCAAGUCGUACGAGAAAGUCGGCUUCGGCCGAUGAGUACAGUGGCGCACGGGUGAGUAACGCGUGGGUAAUCUGCCCCCCGGUCAGGAAUAACCCGCCGAAAGGCGGGCUAAUACCCGAUAACACUGACGCUCUGCGGAGUGUCUUUCAAAGAAGGCCUCUGUUUACAAGCUUUCGCCGGAGGAUGAGCCCGCGUACCAUUAGCUAGUUGGCAGGGUAAUGGCCUACCAAGGCAACGAUGGUUAGCUGGUCUGAGAGGAUGGCCAGCCACACUGGAACUGAGACACGGUCCAGACUCCUACGGGAGGCAGCAGUGAGGAAUCUUGCGCAAUGGGGGAAACCCUGACGCAGCAACGCCGCGUGAGUGAAGAAGGCCUUCGGGUCGUAAAGCUCUGUCAGAUGGGAAGAAAUGGAUGGGGGCUAAUAUCGUCCAUCCUUGACGGUACCAUCAGAGGAAGCACCGGCUAACUCCGUGCCAGCAGCCGCAGUAAAAC
rnacentral:rRNA from 1 species